GACGAAGGUGGCAAGCGUUGUUCGGAAUCACUGGGCUUAAAGGGCACGCAGGCGGCCCGUCAAGCGCUUUGUGAAAUCCCUCGGCUCAACCGAGGAAUUGCUUGGCGAACUGACGGGCUUGAGGCAGGUAGGGGCGUGUGGAACUCUUGGUGGAGCGGUGAAAUGCGUAGAUAUCAAGAGGAACGCCGGUGGCGAAAGCGACACGCUGGGCCUGUCCUGACGCUGAGGUGCGAAAGCCAGGGGAGCGAACGGG
rnacentral:rRNA from 1 species